rnacentral:lncRNA from 1 species
UUCAGUUCUUACCUUUAUCUUUGUUAAGAGAAUUCAAUAUUGUUCUACAGUUUGCUCCAUGUGCUCCACGACAGGUUAGGGCCAUGACCUAGAAACAAGCGUCCUUAUUUCAUUAAAGAAGCAUUAUCUAAUCUGAAUGCACAUCUUUGCCUUUGGAAUGGUGAAGAUGUUUUAUUCUAAGAGGUUGAAUGUUAUGAAUUAAACCAUAUGCCUUUUGAAUUGAAGCACAUUAUGUCUCUAAUGCCUUGAACAGGCAACAACAGUAAUAAUAAUGCUCGGAGCAGAAAAAGUCCAAGGACCACAAUCUUUAAUGAUCUGAUGUUAAGGCAUUAAACUUCCAUUCUAAUGGAGACAAUAUACUAAUUUUUUAUAAUAAAUGCUCGAGCUUUAAGGUUCUUUGGUGAAAGGCUGAUGGUCAUUUGAGGUGGCUAAAUUAUGCUAAAACUAACCAACCAAGAAAAUGUGGAAACCAUUGCUCAUUAACUUGAAACUUAAUAAUAUGGGAAGAUUUUCAUUUGUCUUUUAGAUUUUUUCUGUGCAUUACCUUUUAAUUAUUAUGAUCAUCUAUGUAAGAAGGUAAUAACUUCUUGCGGAUGUUCUUAUUUUUCUUAAUUACAUUUGUAAUAGUCUUGAGUAGUUUAUGAAAUCUGCCCAAUUAGCAGAAUGGAUAUUGAUUAUUCAUAAAAGCCGAUGACAAUAGUUCGGCAUUGAGGCGUAAUUUGUUGUUAUUAUUGUUGUAGUUGUUAUAAUCUUCUGUCUAACAUUGAGUAGAUUUGGCAAGCUUAAUUCUUUCCUUUAUAAAGAUUUAUAACUUUCCCUGUCAGUUUACAGAGCUGAUGCACAAAAAUUUGAAGAAUGGGCUCGUACUCAAAAUGCCAAUACGCUAGUUGACUUCUCAUCCAGAGAUGGAGAAGUUGAAAACAUUCUGAAAGAUAUUGCACAGCGAGCUGGAACCAAGAAUAGUUUCUGCUACAGUCGACUAUUUGCGGUUGGCCUCUUUCGCCUACUUGAGUUGGCAAAUGUAACUGAUCCGACCAUCUUAGAAAAG